AAUAAAAAUAAAACAAGAAGUGUCAAAGUGAAAUGUCAGAGAUAUCAACUGUCAAAUUUAGUUCUUAAGGAAAUUGUACAUUUCUUACUUAAUAACUUAAUAUAACCCUAAAUCAGUAUAUCUAAAAGUACAUUAAUUCCCUUUCUCUCAAAGGAGACAUUAGUGGCCUACAAUAUGGAGAUAUAUUUGAUUCUUUCCUUUCCCUUAUCUCUGAAGAAGAUGCAUAUGAGAUUAUCUGCCUAGUAUCCGGUCUGAAGAACUCCUUGUCCAAAUCAUGGCAUUAUUGUGGGAGCCUUUAUUUUUUAUUUAUUCAUUUUUAGAGCUAUGUGACUCAUCCUUCUGGUAAUAGUUGAUUGGCCCAAUUUGGCAGGAAGCCGUCCUGGAACAGAGUCCUUCCCUGGAAGUUUUGGAACUAGAACUGAGAAAGCGAAUAAUUUUUCCCUUUACACACCUAAACCGAAAUAUGAAAGUUUGGUUCCUACAGGUAGACAUGCUUCCUGCCUUAAAAACCUGAGAAGAGAAAAGUGGUCUUUAGAGAGAGAAGAUAUUGAAGCAAGUCCAAACAGCUUUCAAGUUUUUGGUUCCAGCUAUUUCUGAGACUCUCCCAUGUAGGUGGAACUACUCUUUCAAUAUCUUACAUAGUUUGGCCUCUUGCUUGCAGAAAACUACUUUGAAAGCCAAAAAUUUAAUAACUUUCUGCUUUGGGGUAACUUUAAGAGAAUAGUGGAAUUGGAUUGAGGGAAUUUGAGAUAAUAUUCGCAUUCCCCAGCAUGAUGUAGGCUUCAACAAAGAGCCAAGCAGAGACCAUGAUGAGGAAACCAGAGAUUCUUUCCUAACUCCACUUGGAAUUAAAAUUACUUAUGGUGAGGGAGGAGACUUCAAGAUGGUUGACUAGAGGCAUCUUAACACUCACCUCCUCUAUAAAGAAGGACCAAAAUAGCAAGUAGAUAAUCACAUAUUGAAUAGAUGAUCUAAGAAAAACACUGGAAUUCAUCAGGGUGACUCCAAUAACAAGGAGGAAAUUUUUUUUAAGAAUUCCAGCUAACAAAUGAAGAAGGUAUGAAAGAAUAUCACCACUGUCCAGCCCUAAUAAAAUAAUGGAUGUUGGCUGUGAUCAUAGUUUUCUAUGGAAGGCUUAGGAGAAUUUUGUAAUUAUUGGAUUAAGUUGAUAAGUCCUGAACCCACUGAUCUACCUUAACAUCACAAGAAGAAAAACCUAACAUGAUCUGUCACAAUACCUAUAAAGCAUCUUUGCCAAAACAAAACAAUUUUUUUGUGCAUAUGCACGCGUGCGCACACACACACACUCAUUAUUGGUUUAUGGAUAUACAGGAGACUGAAAGAACAUUUUAAGAACUUCAAAGAUAAGGAAUUGGCACAAUUCAGAAUAUGGGAAACUCUUCAAGGCAAAAAGUUCAAUUUAUUCAACAGAGAAAUGACAAAACUCACGGAAAUAAGAAAGGUAGCUGGAACUCAGAUUAAAAUAGUCAUGGCAGCCAGCUUCCCCCAGAGCAAGUGACCCAAGAGAAAGGGGACAAAGAAGAAGCCACUCUACCUUUUACUAACUAGUUGCAGAAAUCACAUAGCAUAACUUCCACUACAUUCUAUUUAUUAGAAGCCAAUUACUAAAUCCAGCCCAUAUUCAAGGCAAUGAGAGGAUGAGAAGCCACCACUUGAACAAAAGAGCAUCAAAGAAUUUGUGGAAAUAUUUUAACAGUACCAUAUCUUCUUUCCCUCUUUUAAUCCUUUUGCUUUCAGAGAUUUUGUCUGAUACUUGGCUUUGGCAGCAUUUGUUUGUAUUAUUUGCCAAAGUUUGAAUGUAUGUGGCCCUCCAAAAUUUAUAUGUUGGAACUUAAAACCCAAAGUGAUUGUAUUAAGAGUCAGGGCCUGUGGGGAAAUGAUUAAGUCAUGAGGUUUCCACCCUCACGAAUUGAUUCAUGUUCUUAUAAAAGAUUUUGAAGAGAGCAAUCUAGUGCCUUUUUUUGUUUCUUUUUUGCCCUUCUGUCCCCUUCUGCCACAUGAAGACAUAGCAUUUGUGCCCUCUGGAGGAUACAGCAACAAGAUGUCAUCUUAGAAACAGAGAGUGAAGCUUUAGGACACCAAAUCUGCCAAGACCUUGAUCUUGGACUUCCCAUCCUCCAGAACUGUGAGAAAUAAAUUUCUAUUAUUUGUAUUUAUCCAAUCUAUGGUAUUUUGUUAUAGCAGCACAAAUGAAUUUAGAUGAUAUAUUUUGCCAUUGAGCCUUCCUAUGUAAUUGUGGGUGUAUUUUUAAUAUGUAACAUAUAUCUGGAUAUUUUAAAAAUUCAAUCUUAUGGUCUCUGAUUUUCAACUGAUGCAAUUAAUUCAUUCACAGUUAUUAUAAUUUUACUGAUGUUUAGACAUUCCUGCUACCUUAUUUUGUGUUUUCUAUUUAUCAUACCUUUAAUUAUUUCCUUUUGAUUAUUUCCAAUUUGCUUUUUAAAAAUUUAUCCAUGUUUUCUUUGUUGUGUUUUUCCCAUUUAUUGGUUCUAAAGUUAUACCAUUUGUAUCAGUCAGCUAAGGCUGUCAUAACAAAAUACCACAGACUAGGUGGCUUAAAAAACAGAAAUUUAUUUUCUCACCAUUUCAGAAGCCCAAAGUCCACCAUCAAGCUGUUGCCAGGUUUAGUUCCUCUCAAAACUUCACUCAUUGGCUUGCAGAUGGCCCUCCCUCCGUCCACACACAUCCCUCGUGUCUUUUAUACUUCUUAUAAGGACACCAGUCAUAUUGGAUGAGGGACCCACCCUAAUAGCCUCAUUUCACUGUAAUUACCUCUUUAAAGGUUCUAUCUCCAAAUAUAGUCACAUUGAAGAUUAGAAGAUUCAACAUGUGAACUGUGAACAAGGGGAUGGAUAUAAUUCAGUACCUAAAACAGCCAUUCCUGUUCUUUUGCUGAAUCCUUAAAUUCUUAACAUAUUCAUAUCAAAUUAUUUUUCUAUAAAUACCUAGAGCUUAAUCAGUUAUCUACUUACUCUACUUUUCUCCAC